rnacentral:lncRNA from 1 species
AAGAGCAGCCUGUGGGUGACUCAGCAGCGACAACGCCUGCCCCGACCUGAUAAGUCCUCCUACAAUGAAGGGCCUAAAGCAACUGAAUACCCAGAGACCAGAGAGAGAAAAGGAUCGCAUCUGAGGGAUUAGGGAAGAUGGCCUUUAGAAGGGCUGCACCUGUGGCAUAUGGCUGGGGUCCAAUCAGAGCUACAGCUGCUGGCCUACACCACAGCCACAGCAAUGCAGGAUCCAAGCCGUGUCUUCGACCCACACAACAGCUCACAGCAAUCCUGGAUCCUUAAUCCACUGUGUGAGCCCAGGGAUGGAAUCCGAAUCCUUAUGGAUACUAGUCAGGUUUGCUACCACCGCGCCAAAAUAGGAACUCCUGGAUGGGUUUCCGAAGGACAGUUUCAUCUCCUCCAAGACAGGUCCUGAGGGGAGGGCCACACUUCCCACUCAGUGUGAGCCAACAGGUCUAUGUCACCCUCCAGACUGGGGGUCCCCUCAUGAGGGGACCACAGAGGAUGAGCGAAAGAAACAGUGAGAGAUGAGGACACUGAGAACAGAGCUCACUUUAUUGGGAAAAGAGAAAGUUGGGUCCUUGGUCUCAAAACAGGACCUGGAAGAGGCAAAAGCCAGGUGUUUGAAUCAAGCGUCAUUUGAACAUGCCCGCCUCCCUCACCUCCCAAGUGGGGCAGCUCCAGUUACAAGCACCAGCGGCCCCUGCCCCAAAACCCCAGGCUGUGUUACCAAUGGACAUCUGUUUCUGGGAUCAAGGAACGUGAGGGAAAUGUCUCCUUCUCUCCCAGGAUGGCAGUGCCCUCAGAACCCAUCAGCUCCUACCUCUAACCCUCCAUUGCACAGAGGCCCAGAAAGGGACAGAACCCUGCCCAGAGGCACACAGUCAGCAAGUGCAGGAUGGAGAGUCAAACCUGCAUUCCCUGUCUCCUGGCUUGGGACUCAUUCCAAGAGAAGAUUCUAGAAGAUGGGCCCCAUCAAAUGGGUAUCACCUGCCCUGACACUCGCCAAGAGACUCCAUCCCCAUGACUCAUAGGUGCAAGCCAGAAGACGCAGGCCAGUGCCACCUGGGGACCUCCUAGGGUGGGCCCCUGGGAGGGCGGUGCUGCUGAGGACAAAAGGGACAGCUAUGGGGAAGGUGCUUGGGAAGAAGACAUCCUCUUGAAAUUUGCUUCUCUGAUGAGUGCAAUCCUACCUUCUGAAAUCCAAGAUGGUUAAAAAGCAAAGUCCUUCGCUCCUGACCCAUCUACAGCAUCCAGAGACGGCCAUCAGAGCAGGAAUAACCUAGAAUGUUAGAUAAUGUCAAAAAGCUCCAUUUGGAGUUCCUGCUGUGAUGCAAUGGGAUCAGCAGUGUCUCUGCAGCACCAGCAUGCCAGUUCAAUCCCCAGCCUGGCAGUGGGUUAAAACAGGUGUUGCCACAGCUGCAGCAGCGUAGGUCUGCAACUGCAGCUUGGAUCCAGUCCCUAGCCCGGGAAAUCCCUAUGCCGUAGAGUGGCCAAACACGGGAAAAAAAAAGCUCCACUUGUCAAGCACUUACUAUGCACCAGGCACCUCAUUGAUCCACUUGGUGGAUUAACUGCCUUGUGCCAGUUGCAGCAUCAGUUGCUGGGAAAUUUGUGAGACUAAAACAGACAUGAUCCUUCACUCAUAGCUUCUUUGUAAAUCUUCACAACUUCUUGGUAGGCACGGUCCCCCAUGAUUAAGGAAAUGGGCUCACAGAGUGAGGUGAUUUUCCCAAGGUUACACAGCAAAGACAUGGCAAGCAGUCAAAAAAAUCACAGAACAAGCUGGCCUUCCAAGACACAGAGGGACUAGAUGGGAGAGGGACCUGCCAAAGUCACAGCAGUUUCUUGAGUGGCUGGCACCUGCCCCUGCUACAAAGGUGAUGAGAAACAGAGCUGGCAGGGAGCAUGCUCAGUCCACACCUGUGAGCUAGACACAAGGAAUCCCCACAGUGCCCUCCGCGUAAUCACAGAAUGUCCUCUUGGGAGCCAGGAGGAGGUAAGCAGAGGAAGUGAACUUGAUGGAACCAAGAUGGGAUUCUAGCUGGCCCAGCCAUGGACAAGCUGUGUGGCCUUGGGAAAAUCAUUCCCCUCUCUGAGCCUCAGUUUCCUCAUCUGUAAAAUAGGGGUAAUAAUAAUGCCUACUUCACUGUCAUGUGGUGAAGAUGAAAUGUUACCCCAUGUAAAGUGCCUGGAACCAGGAAGGGCCCCGUGUGCCAUCUGUAUUAUCUAUUAUAAUGACACUGGCCUCUCACUGAGAUCUGCAUCUGGGGAGGGCUCUGCACAGGUGAGGCUCAUGGCAAGUGGUGCUGAUGGAGCCAGAACCUUAGCAAGCCCCCAGCCCAGCUCGCCACUCUGUCAGGAAGUCCAUCCUGAAGACACCUCACCAGCCCCUCUCUGGCCCUCAUUUUGAAUUUCCAAGCUGCCUGACCCCAGGACCAGCCUGCUAUUCUAGUCCCUGCUCUCCCAACACCUGCAAGCUCAGAGUAUGGGGGGGGGUCCAGGUCCUGACCCUCUGCCGUCACCCCCCUACACACACCAGCUCCCAGCACUAGGUGCUCAGUGCCCAGAAAUGAAAUAAAGGAAGAAAUGAUGAUGAGUAAGUAAGUGAUGAGAAAAGGGGUGUGUGUGUGUGUUUAAGUGCUGGAGCCAGGAUCGGGGGGAAUCACUUCAUAGGGGUUUUAGAGCCUCAAAGGUGCUCCCUGCCUGGAUCUGCAGUGGUUGCAAGGCUGAGGAUCUGCAGCUGAUGACAGAGGGGCUGGUCUUCAGGCAGAGGCCCCACAGGGGCCCAACCUGUGUUAUUGCUCCUCCAAGUUCUCUCAGGACAUAGUGACUCCACCUUGUGGAACAUUUCAAAUUCCACCUCAAGCAAACCUCUUUAGACAGCAGCCUCUGGCACCCCCAUUACUAUUGCAGAAUAACCUUAUAUCAGGGCCCCCUAUGUGCCAGGCAGCAUCUCUAGGCCUCAGAGAGGGUGCUUGGAAACAAAGUGACUUGCUUAAGAUCACAUUGCCAGUAAGUGGACAGGAAUCUAGCAAAAUCAGGAUACUCACUAGAAACUGAGCAUCAUAUUAGAGACUGACUCAUUCCCUCACCGUAAAUCUAGGAGGAAACAGGAGUUCCCAUUGUGGCUCAACCGAAACAAAUCUGACUAGUAUCCAUGAGGAUGCAGGUUCAAUUCCUGGCUUCGAUCAGUGGGUCAAGGAUCCAGUGUUGCCGUGAGCUGUGGUGUAGGUUGCAGAUGCAGCUUGGAUCUGGCAUUGCUGUGGCUGUGGCGAGAGCCAGCGACUGCAGCUCUGAUUCAACUCCUAGCCUGGGAACUUCCAUGUGCCAUGGUGUGGCCCUAAAAAAGACCAAAAGAAAAGAAAAAUCUAGGAGGAAACAGAAGCUCAGAGAGGGUAAAACCUUGCCAAGGUCACACACCCAACCAGUUAGCAUCAGAAGUGAGAGUUGAAUCCAUUGUUGGGGCUCCCCAGGCCAUGCAGAAAAGUGAACCUGAGGGCUCUGGUUUACUCCCAUCACCCUCCUGCCCUCCCCACCCAGCCUCUCUUACAUGACACUUGACAUUAUCCAUCACUCCCUCCCCCUGGGAACGCCCUCCUCCUCCAGUUUCCAUGGCAGCACAUUCUCCCCAUCCUCCUCUUGUUUCUCUGGCAGCUUCACAUCUCCAACAGUGGCUCCUGAGCCUACAAAGCAGGGGGGUCCCCAGGCUUGGUCCCACAUCUCGUCUCCCUCCAUCUCUACCUCCAAAAGCUCAUCUCCUUUUCCCUCUAGAUCUCUAACUAUCACUUUGCACUGCCGCUCCACUUUUAAGUAAUAAAAAGCUCUUACCAAG